rnacentral:ncRNA from 1 species
GCGAGCCCAUUGCGGUGAAAGUCGCUUGAUGGGUUCUUUGGGGAGGGGGCGGCGGGAAUGCCGUCUCCUUACCCGCU